AAGAGCUUCCUGGUUUGUCCUUGAUAUAAAUUUGUAGUAGAAAUAGAAGUUCCUAGAAAGUCCUUAGUUGCCAAAAAAAAAAACAAGUAUCUAUUACCUAAGGUAGGGGUUAUAUGUAUGAAAAAAAACUCACUAGUCAAAAACUAACUCCUUUCUCUUCAUUACAUAUUUGCAAUUAGGCAUAGAAAUUGUGUAUCAUAUUGUGCUUUAACCCAAAAUUUUCAGAAAUGAAUGACCCCAAGUAUGCCUAUCCAUACCCUCCACAAGGGUAUUAUCAAGGUCCCCCAGUGAUGGCACCACCUCAAUAUGCUGCUCCACCACCCAGAAGACAGAGUGCUGGAUUUCUUGAGGGAUGUUUUGCAGCUCUAUGUUGUUGUUGUCUCAUAGAUGAGUGUUGCUGUGACCCUUCAAUCUUAUGUAUCUUCUGAUCAUAUAUGAAAGUUUCUGCAUCUAGAAAAAUAUAAAUAAAUAAAAAAGCUAUCACUUGCUUAAUAGUUUAA